GCCACACGUAAACUUCACUACCAAAGUCAAACACCAGGACCUGGGGAAAUGGCACAAAAGAAUUUGCUCACUUCAAGGAUAUGCUCCAGCUGAGUCAGGUCUCCAAAGACAAUACUGAUGAUCCAAUGAAGUCUUCUCUCUCACCUACAAUCCAACAUCCUUAAGGGCAUAGAUCAUAUCAUAUUUACGAAGGGAGCACUUUGGGAUUUUCCCCCAGUAGUUAUCAUCAGGAACAAGUUUGUCAUCCAUCAAACGGAAGCAGAACUGGGGAGAGAGCAGAAGGAAGCAGUCCCCGCUGUUGAGUGACGAGGCGCGGGGUUCCACCAGCCUUGUCUGUACGUGUCUUCUUCCUGAACAGGAGGCCCAGAGUCACCGUUUGCCCACACAAGACUGGGGCUAGGACACAUCCACGGCUCAAGCAUCACUGCCACAAGGGUAAACUCAACUAUCGGAAGCAACUAUUAGAGCAGAUGUUUAGUCAUAGAAAUAAGAUCAAUUGACAAAACUCUGUGCACUCUUAAAGAAAUUUAGCUUUGCUUCCUCAAGAGAGAUUGUCACUUCAUGCAGCUUCCAGAGGCCUGAAUGAAAGAUGAAGAAAGACUCAAAGUCCUAUGCUCAGACCUCGAAGGAAUCAUAAUCCAAUCUAGUCACCAUCUACUAUCUCUUAAAACAAAAGGACUGAAAGAAAGCAAAAUCUUGUUCUGGUACAUCCUUGAGACACUUGAGGAAGGAGAGCAAUGCAUGUUGAAGCCUGCCAGAGAGAUUAAGUAAAUAGUCCUUUUAGACAGAG